rnacentral:rRNA from 1 species
AGCUCCAAUAGCGUAUAUUAAAGUUGUUGCAGUUAAAAAGCUCGUAGUUGAAACUUGGGCCUGGCUGGCGGGUCCGCCUCACCGCGUGCACUCGUCCGGCCGGGCCUUCCUUCUGAAGAACCUCAUGCCCUUCACUGGGCGUGUUGGGGAAUCAGGACUUUUACUUUGAAAAAAUUAGAGUGUUCAAAGCAGGCCUUUGCUCGAAUACGUUAGCAUGGAAUAAUAAAAUAGGGCGUGCGUUUCUAUUUUGUUGGUUUCUAGAGACGCCGCAAUGAUUAACAGGAACAGUCGGGGGCAUCAGUAUUCAGUUGUCAGAGGUGAAAUUCUUGGAUUUACUGAAGACUAACUACUGCGAAAGCAUUUGCCAAGGAUGUUU